rnacentral:misc_RNA from 1 species
AGUUAAAAAAAAAAAAAAAAAUUUACCUUAGUACUUAAAUACCAGGACAGUUUGAGUUGUCGUUGCAUAUAGAUGCAUUUUCAAUGAAACAAAGAUGGUUUUUAUCCCCCCUUUCUGUGUAUGUCUGUGUCUGCAGCAAUGAAUUUUUGUGAAACAGCCCUCCAUCUCACUUAUUUUGGAAAAUUAAUACCAUGUCACUAUAGAUUUUGGAAAAAGAAAAAGAAAAACAAUGGCAAGUUUCAUCUUGUUGUGGCUUCAUAAAUUUUGCCAGCCAUUAACCUUCUACUUUUAUCAUCUAUGGCCUUGCUGCAUGCAAAACUUCAUGAAAGAUCAUGCGGCUGAAUGGUAAUGUCAUAACAAUCUGACAUGAGAAGAGAUGAAAGGUUUUGAGAAGUCCAGGUCAUGAGAAGUUAUAAGGAUCCAGUUUGUUACAAGGUAAUGGAGCAUUUGUUUUAAGGAUGAUAGCAUGAAACUGAACCUGUACUUAGCCAAAAUUAAUGAAAAUAUAAAUGUGUUAAUACAUUUGCCUCGAUGCUUUUUUCUGAAAUGUAACUAUAAUUAAUGAUUGUCUAUUGAUUUAUCUUGAUGAUUAAAAAUUGUUGUGAUAUUGCUUCUGAAAAUACGCAUAAUAUUUUCUAUUAUUUCUUUUUUGUUCUGCUGUUAGGCUUAUACCAUGGAGUUGGAAG